UACGUAGGGUGCAAGCGUUGUCCGGAAUUAUUGGGCGUAAAGAGCUCGUAGGUGGCCUGUCGCGUCGGCUGUGAAAACUCGGGGCUCAACUCCGAGCUUGCAGUCGAUACGGGCAGGCUAGAGUUCGGCAGGGGAGACUGGAAUUCCUGGUGUAGCGGUGAAAUGCGUAGAUAUCAGGAGGAACACCGGUGGCGAAGGCGGGUCUCUGGGCCGAUACUGACACUGAGAAGCGAAAGCGUGGGGAGCGAACAGG
rnacentral:rRNA from 1 species